rnacentral:rRNA from 1 species
GACGAACGCUGGCGGCGUGCUUAACACAUGCAAGUCGAGCGGUAAGGCCCUUUCGGGGGUACGACGAGCGGCGAACGGGUGAGUAACACGUGGGUGACCUGCCCUCAGCUCUGGGAGUAAGCCUGGGGAACCGGGUCUAAUACUGGAUAUGACUCCAUGACGCAUGUUGUGGGGUGGAAAGCCUUGUGCGGCUGAGGAUGGGCCCGCGGCCUAUCAGCUUGUUGGUGGGGUGAGGCCUACCAAGGCGACGACGGGUAGCCGGCCUGAGAGGGCGACCGGCCACACUGGGACUGAGACACGGCCCAGACUCCUACGGGAGGCAGCAGUGGGGAAUCUUGCGCAAUGGGCGAAAGCCUGACGCAGCGACGCCGCGUGAGGGAUGA